rnacentral:rRNA from 1 species
AGCAGCCGCGGUAAUUCCAGCUCCAAUAGCGUAUAUUAAAGUUGUUGCAGUUAAAAAGCUCGUAGUUGAAUUUCGGGGUUAGCAGGUCGGUCGUGCCAUCGGUAUGAACUGGUCUCGCUGAUCCCUCCCUCUUGACGAACUGUGAUGCCAUUAAUUUGGUGUCGCAGGGAAUCAGGACUGUUACUUUGAAAAAAUUAGAGUGUUUAAAGCAGGCUCACGCUUGAAUACAUUAGCAUGGAAUAAUGAAAUAGGACGUUUGAUCCUAUUUUGUUGGUUUCUAGGAUUGACGUAAUGAUUAAUAGGGAUAGUUGGGGGCAUUAGUAUUCAAUUGUCAGAGGUGAAAUUCUUGGAUUUAUUGAAGACUAACUACUGCGAAAGCAUUUGCCAAGGAUGUUUUCAUUAAUCAAGAACGAAAGUUAGGGGAUCGAAGACGAUCAGAUACGUCGUAGUCUUAACCAUAAACUAUGCCGACUAGGGAUCGGAUGAUGUUAAUUUUUAAUGACUCU